rnacentral:ncRNA from 1 species
CCCUGACAGGCGCAUCCCGUGCCUGACACUAGCCAAGACAGGAGAUACUCAUG